UGAACGCUGGCGGCAGGCCUAACACAUGCAAGUCGAACGGUAACAGGAAGAAGCUUGCUUCUUUGCUGACGAGUGGCGGACGGGUGAGUAAUGUCUGGGAAACUGCCUGAUGGAGGGGGAUAACUACUGGAAACGGUAGCUAAUACCGCAUAACGUCGCAAGACCAAAGAGGGGGACCUUAGGGCCUCUUGCCAUCGGAUGUGCCCAGAUGGGAUUAGCUAGUAGGUGGGGUAAAGGCUCACCUAGGCGACGAUCCCUAGCUGGUCUGAGAGGAUGACCAGCCACACUGGAACUGAGACACGGUCCAGACUCCUACGGGAGGCAGCAGUGGGGAAUAUUGCACAAUGGGCGCAAGCCUGAUGCAGCCAUGCCGCGUGUAUGAAGAAGGCCUUCGGGUUGUAAAGUACUUUCAGCGGGGAGGAAGGUGUUGUGGUUAAUAACCACAGCAAUUGACGUUACCCGCAGAAGAAGCACCGGCUAACUCCGUGCCAGCAGCCGCGGUAAUACGGAGGGUGCAAGCGUUAAUCGGAAUUACUGGGCGUAAAGCGCACGCAGGCGGUCUGUCAAGUCGGAUGUGAAAUCCCCGGGCUCAACCUGGGAACUGCAUUCGAAACUGGCAGGCUUGAGUCUCGUAGAGGGGGGUAGAAUUCCAGGUGUAGCGGUGAAAUGCGUAGAGAUCUGGAGGAAUACCGGUGGCGAAGGCGGCCCCCUGGACGAAGACUGACGCUCAGGUGCGAAAGCGUGGGGAGCAAACAGGAUUAGAUACCCUGGUAGUCCACGCCGUAAACGAUGUCUAUUUGGAGGUUGUGCCCUUGAGGUGUGGCUUCCGGAGCUAACGCGUUAAAUAGACCGCCUGGGGAGUACGGCCGCAAGGUUAAAACUCAAAUGAAUUGACGGGGGCCCGCACAAGCGGUGGAGCAUGUGGUUUAAUUCGAUGCAACGCGAAGAACCUUACCUGGUCUUGACAUCCACAGAACUUUCCAGAGAUGGAGGGGUGCCUUCGGGAACUGUGAGACAGGUGCUGCAUGGCUGUCGUCAGCUCGUGUUGUGAAAUGUUGGGUUAAGUCCCGCAACGAGCGCAACCCUUAUCCUUUGUUGCCAGCGGUUAGGCCGGGAACUCAAAGGAGACUGCCAGUGAUAAACUGGAGGAAGGUGGGGAUGGCGUCAAGUCAUCAUGGCCCUUACGACCAGGGCUACACACGUGCUACAAUGGCGCAUACAAAGAGAAGCGAACUCGCGAGAGCAAGCGGACCUCAUAAAGUGCGUCGUAGUCCGGACUGGAGUCUGCAACUCGACUCCAUGAAGUCGGAAUCGCUAGUAAUCGUGGAUCAGAAUGCCACGGUGAAUACGUUCCCGGGCCUUGUACACACCGC
rnacentral:rRNA from 1 species